GACGAACGCUGGCGGCGUGCUUAACACAUGCAAGUCGUACGGUAAGGCCCUUUCGGGGGUCCACGAGUGGCGAACGGGUGCGUAACACGUGAGUAACCUGCCCACAACUUUGGGAUAACGCUAGGAAACUGGUGCUAAUACUGGAUAUGUGCUCCUGCUGCAUGGUGGGGGUUGGAAAGCUCCGGCGGUUGUGGAUGGACUCGCGGCCUAUCAGCUUGUUGGUGGGGUAGUGGCCUACCAAGGCGGCGACGGGUAGCCGGCCUGAGAGGGUGACCGGCCACAUUGGGACUGAGAUACGGCCCAGACUCCUACGGGAGGCAGCAGUGGGGAAUAUUGCACAAUGGGCGCAAGCCUGAUGCAGCAACGCCGCGUGCGGGAUGACGGCCUUCGGGUUGUAGACCGCUUUCAGCAGGGACGAAGCUUUUUGUGACGGUACCUGCAGAAGAAGCACCGGCUAACUACGUG
rnacentral:rRNA from 1 species